AUACCACGCGCGGUACAGACGUGUGUCAUAAUUUCAGAAUUUCGUCAUAAGAAACAAAAGUAAUUAUUAAGUAAAAACAUCUAGAAUUUUAGUUUUGGCUCCCUCGACCGAGAUGUCGUCGAGAACCUUCCACAAAAGCGGCGCCAGGGAGGGGCGGAGUUUCGUUACAGAUGCUGCUAUGCAGGGUGUGUGAUAGUUAUUGUAGACUAUUCAAAGAGUUUCUUGAAUGUUGACUUCGAUACAAAUACAUACAUUGUAUGUCAUGUGAGUAUAAUGUAUGGGCACCGGAAAUAUUGAAAUA